UACGUAGGGGGCAAGCGUUGUCCGGAAUCAUUGGGCGUAAAGCGCGCGUAGGCGGCCCUGUAAGUCCGCUGUAAAAGUCAAAGGCUCAACCUUUGAAAGCCGGUGGAUACUGCAGGGCUAGAGUCCGGAAGAGGCGAGUGGAAUUCCUGGUGUAGCGGUGGAAUGCGCAGAUAUCGGGAGGAACACCAGUGGCGAAGGCGGCGCUCUGGGCCGGAACUGACGCUGAGGAGCGAAAGCGUGGGUAGCAAACAGG
rnacentral:rRNA from 1 species